rnacentral:rRNA from 1 species
ACGAACGCUGGCGGCGUGCUUAACCCAUGCAAGUCGAACGGAAAGGCCCUGCUUUUGUGGGGUGCUCGAGUGGCGAACGGGUGAGUAACACGUGAGUAACCUGCCCUUGACUUUGGGAUAACUUCAGGAAACUGGGGCUAAUACCGGAUAGGAGCUCCUGCUGCAUGGUGGGGGUUGGAAAGUUUCGGCGGUUGGGGAUGGACUCGCGGCUUAUCCGCUUGUUGGUGGGGUAGUGGCUUACCAAGGCUUUGACGGGUAGCCGGCCUGAGAGGGUGACCGGCCACAUUGGGACUGAGAUACGGCCCAGACUCCUACGGGAGGCAGCAGUGGGGAAUAUUGCACAAUGGGCGGAAGCCUGAUGCAGCAACGCCGCGUGCGGGAUGACGGCCUUCGGGUUGUAAACCGCUUUCGCCUGUGACGAAGCGUGAGUGACGGUAAUGGGUAAAGAAGCACCGGCUAACUACGUG